rfam:Ornithorhynchus anatinus chromosome 1, whole genome shotgun sequence.
UACCCCUCAGGGUUGCAUCUGGAAAGUUUCCAGUACUCUACCAGUCUCAACUAUUGGAGGGAGAGUCCAGCAGAGGCAUAUACAUUCCAUUUCUAGCUUGGUCAGUGGCUAGCAAGUGGAAGGUAAUCUGCUACAAGU